rnacentral:lncRNA from 1 species
AUGGACUGCAGCCAACCAGGCUCCUCUCUCCAUGGGAUUUUCCAGUCAAGAAUACUGGAGUGGGUUGCCAUUUCCUACUUCAGGGGAUCUUCCUGACCCAGGGAUUAAGGCCAUGUCUCUGCUUCUCCUGCAUUGCAGGUAGAUUCUUUACCAUCUGAGCCACUGGGGAAACCCCUCUGCCUGUACUGUCAUUGAAAAACUGAAGAUGCCAAAUUUUCCAGGAGUCUGUGACACUGGAGGGACUAAUGAGAAGAGGAAAGAGAACAUUCCUGUCGGUGCUACUUCAUCAAGGACUCAAGAGUCAGUGUGCAGAAUGCUACAGAAAAGUGUUACCACAGCAGUGAGAAGUAUAAUGUGGUUAAUGGGUGCAGUUCUCAGUACGAGGGUAGAACUACACAGAGAACUGAGGCUGUAGUCAGAGAAAAGAGAUUCAAGAUGGAAGGUGUCUGGCUGCCUCAAUCAUCACAUGGGAAAAAGCAGGCCAUGACUACACUGAGCCAUUAUGUGAGUGGAAAAUGAAUGUUUAUUAUGUUAAGUCACUGAAAAUUUAGAGGUUUUCUUCUUUAGA